CCUGCGGUAGCUCAGUUGGUAGAACACGAGACUCUUAAAUCGCUGGGUUGUGGGUUCGAGUCCUGUGUUGCAUUGCAGGG